rnacentral:lncRNA from 1 species
CCACAGACAAGCAGUGUGCCUUGUCUGUAAAGAUCCGGGGGAUCUUUAUAACUUGGACCCCUUGGUUUUCUCUUGGUAAUAACCAGCCUUUGUCAUUUGUCUGCUGGCUUGGCACAGUCUGGCCCACAGAGUCCAGCAGAAGUCAGCCCUAAGGUGGUGCUAAGGGUAUCCUCACCUGAAAGAUAUCUGGGUUUGAAAAAAGUGUUCAUGUUCAGAGAUAAAAUUGAACAGCCCUAAGGAAAGAAAAUCCUGCUUCUCUCUUUUUGCAGCGCCUGGCUUGGGAUAAAGUAGUUCAUAUAACUUUCAGGUUAUUUAUCUCUUUCUAUUAUUCCCUUAAAAAUAUGAAUACGAAAUAAAAGUCUCCUUUCAAGAAGAAGAAUGGAAGCAUGUGCAAAAAGAAAAGGUGAAAUGAAACAUCUCAACUACUCUGAGCUACCCAUUUCUAUUGAACAAAUUUCCUGCAAUUUGUGAUUCAUGUCAGCACCUCGGAAGCUGCAUUAUUUCCAGCGAAUUUAUGGCGCCUCCUUUUUUUCCUUCCCAGAUGAAAUGAGCUAUAUCUUCCACUGCAAAUUGUACCACCCAGCCUCCCACGAAGCAAGGCCACGGGUGUGCGUGCGGAGACCUUCCCCAGCUGAAGGAAGGGGUAGCUGGAGGAUCUGAGUCCUGAUGGUGCAAACCCCUUUGACCGCAACUUGCUCACCAGCUCACAAGUUUGUAAACCUGCUGCAGACUCCUCACUUCUUAAAUUACCCAUGUGAGAUGAAGCGUGUCCUGAUGUGGUUUCAGCUACAGCAACAUUGGAACCUAUCAUUUCAACUUAUUCCUGUUGCCUCCAUGGAUCAGCAUGAAGUUGGGCUUUGCUCCUUGACAGCCAUCGCUUCGCCAGGUUGAACAAACCCACCUCCUUCAGUGUCUCCUCACAGGGCAAGUGCUCCAGCCCCAGCCAUCUUGAUGGCUGAAGGAAAGUACAAAUUCUGUGCUGUAAAUUUGCUGCAGGCUUGGUUGGGGUUGAACUCCUUGACUUUCCUAGUGACACAGGUUUGCUUUGGCAUAUGCUCUUCCAGGUUUCCUACUAUUUCCUCUCUAGAUUACUGAUCUCUGGACAUAUUGGCAAUCUCUGUGUCUUUUCUGUGUCAAUGAUUCCAGUAAGAUUUUUUGGGGGUGCAGGAUGAGCGUUGAUGGGAAGACAUGGACAGCAACAAACUCCACCUUUUUGCUCUGGUCCUGCGGCUGAAUUGAUGCAUGAUUUUGGACAGCUGGACACAGGGUUGGCAAGUAAUCCAACACCCCUUCAUGUCCUUUUGUAGUAUUAUAACAGAGUGCACUAUGCAACCAGGUACAGUCCCAGUGGGACGAGUCUGGGCCCUGGAUUUUU